UACAGAGGGGUGCGAGCGUUAAUCGGAAUUACUGGGCGUAAAGCGUGCGUAGACGGUAGCGUAAGUCAGAUGUGAAAGCCCCGGGCUCAACCUGGGAAUGGCAUUUGAGACUGCUCUGCUCGGGUGCGGAAGAGGGAAGCGGAAUUUCCGGUGUAGCGGUGGAAAUGCGUAGAUAUCGGAAGGAACACCAGUGGCGAAAGCGGCUUCCUGGUCCGACACCCGACGUCAGGCACGAAAGCGUGGGGAGCAAACAGG
rnacentral:rRNA from 1 species